AAAAGCCUAUGACUGCAACUCUCAUGGAUGUUUGAACACAUUUGUUUUGAGAUUUGUUUCCUCAUCUGACUCAGAGGUACUUGAAGAAGCCAGAUUAUGUCACCUGACCAAGCCUGACAUUAAGCACAAGGAAAAGAAUUCUCUUCCAAUAGGAAUCUCGUGGCAAAGGAAAGGGAUACCCAUUCAUCUUAAAGGAAAGGCAGGAAAUUCCUGGGAAGAGCAACUAUUAAAAGGAGGUGAUUUUCCUACAAAGAAUGCAUGUCUCCGCGAGCAAAGAUGCUGUGAUUGAUUACCAAUUUCCCACUCCCUGGGAUUUCAGUUGCUGCUAUAAUCUGGGAUGAAAUCACACUGCAUGUGAGACGAGCACAAUUAAAAGUCUUCUGAGAGCCCUGGAAAGCAAAUGUGAUAUUGGGUCACCUGCAUGGAGGAUCUGGGCCAGGUGUAUGGCAUGCAGGAGCUGGUUGGGCCUUAGCUUAACAUUAAAAGUACAAACAGUAAAAACCAUGGUGGCCCGUGCUGACCAGGUGCCAGCUGGGGAGCACAGAGGCGGACUCCAUGGCUGACGGAGGGAAAGAGGCAUUGAUUUCUGCUUCAUGGAGAGAAAAGAUGGAAAACGUAACUUUUAAAGUGAUUUUUGCAUUCUUCUUUAGAUACUUUGCAUUGUUUAAAAAAAAGCUAUAGACUUAAAAGAUGAAAAUUUUAGACUUUGCUAUUGUUAUGGGCCAAGAAUUGGGUCUCACUUAAAAAAAAUGAGAGAGACAAUUCUGAUGUGAAUCUCAUGUUUAUUGUUUUAAAAGCUCUGUGCUAAUACCAAAAGAAUGUAUUUCUGGUGGGAAAAGAUAUAUUUCCAUGCCU